CGCAUGGGCGCAGCCUGAUGCAGCAACGCCGCGUGAGGGACGACGGCCUUCGGGUUGUAAACCUCUUUUAGCAGGGAAGAAGCGAGAGUGACGGUACCUGCAGAAAAAGCACCGGCUAACUACGUGCCAGCAGCCGCGGUAAUACGUAGGGUGCAAGCGUUGUCCGGAAUUAUUGGGCGUAAAGAGCUCGUAGGCGGUUUGUCGCGUCUGCUGUGAAAUCCCGAGGCUCAACCUCGGGCUUGCAGUGGGUACGGGCAGACUAGAGUGCGGUAGGGGAGAUUGGAAUUCCUGGUGUAGCGGUGGAAUGCGCAAAUAUCAGGAGGAACACCGAUGGCGAAGGCAGAUCUCUGGGCCGUAACUGACGCUGAGGAGCGAAAGCAUGGGGAGCAAACAGGCUUAGAUACCCUGGUAGUCCAUGCCGUAAACGUUGGGAACUAGAUGUGGGGACCAUUCCACGGUCUCCGUGUCGUAGCUAACGCAUUAAGUUCCCCGCCUGGGGAGUACGGCCGCAAGGCUAAAACUCAAAGAAAAUUGACGGA
rnacentral:rRNA from 1 species